rnacentral:rRNA from 1 species
CCUACGGGAGGCAGCAGUGAGGAAUAUUGGGCAAUGGACGAAAGUCUGACCCAGCCAUGCCGCGUGCAGGAUGACUGCCCUAUGGGUUGUAAACUGCUUUUAUACGGGAGGAAAAAGUCCGACGUGUCGGAAACUGACGGUACCGUAAGAAUAAGGAUCGGCUAACUCCGUGCCAGCAGCCGCGGUAAU